rnacentral:lncRNA from 1 species
UCCGACGCCAUGGACAAAUGUAAUAAUUUGUCUUCUCUCCCCUUCUUCUCGUCUCCUUCCUCCGUCCUGUAUUUGCUUACUGCACCACAAUAAUUAUUUCUUCAGAGAGGAGAAGAGGACAGGUCCUGGAAUCCAAAUUUCCUUCAUGAACAAAUGAAGCACAAUCCUUUGCAGUAGCUGAAGUUUCAGACUGGAUAAAUUACAUUGCAGCACCUGAAGUUUCAGACUGAAUAUAUUAUGUUGGCCACCUGUAUUUGGAAAAUUUACCCGAUGUAGCAUGUACAUUUAGUUUCCUAGAAGGCCAUUGCACUUGUUGUUAAUUAGCAACUCACAUUACAAAAGUGCCAGUGGAAAUUUUUGAAAUUAGUAGUGCAGUUUGCAUCUUUGUAACAGAA